CGGCGAACUACGUGCCAGCAGCCGCGGUAAAACGUAGGAGGCUAGCGUUAUCCGGAUUUAUUGGGCGUAAAGCGCGUGCAGGCGGUUUAUCAAGUUGGAUGUGAAAGCUCCUGGCUUAACUGGGAGAGGUCGUUCAAAACUGAUAGACUAGAGAAUGGUAGAGGGAGGUGGAAUUCCGGGUGUAGUGGUGAAAUGCGUAGAUAUCCGGAGGAACACCAGUGGCGAAAGCGGCCUCCUGGGCCAUUUCUGACGCUAAGACGCGAAAGCUAGGGUAGCAAACGGGAUUAGAGACCCCGGUAGUCCUAGCCGUAAACGAUGUGGACUUGGCGUUGGCGGAGUUAAAUCUGCCAGUGCCGUAGCUAACGCGAUAAGUCCACCGCCUGGGGACUACGACCGCAAGGUUAAAACUCAAAGGAAUUGACGGGGACCCGCACAAGCAGCGGAGCGUGUGGUUUAAUUCGAUGCUACACGAAGAACCUUACCAAGGUUUGACAUGUAAGUGGUAGUGAUCUGAAAAGUGAACGACCCUUCGGGGAGCUUACACAGGUGCUGCAUGGCUGUCGUCAGCUCGUGUCGUGAGAUGUUCGGUUAAGUCCGCUAACGAGCGCAACCCUCACUGUGUGUUACAAGUGUCACACGGGACUGCCGGUUUUAAGCCGGAGGAAGGCGAGGAUGACGUCAAGUCAGCAUGGCCUUUAUAUCUUGGGCUACACACACGCUACAAUGGUCUGUACAAUAGGUUGCCAAGCCGCGAGGCGGAGCCAAUCCUAAAAGCAGGCCUCAGUUCAGAUUGCAGGCUGCAACCCGCCUGCAUGAAGAUGGAGUUGCUAGUAACCGCAGGUCAGCUAUACUGCGGUGAAUACGUUCCCGGGUCUUGUACACACCGCCCGU
rnacentral:rRNA from 1 species